CGGUACUAUGAGCUCUGGAGCUCUUCCGUAGGGGAACGGCUGGCUGUCUCGAGGGAGACCCGCAGCAGACCAAGAGGUGAAUGUACACACAGAAACAGUCGUAUAAUCACACUCUGUCCUGCCUGGGGGUUGGGAUGGCAUGCUCCUCCCUUCUCCUUUGUUGUUUUACUUGCAACAAUAAACUAUCAAUCAAUCAAUCAAGCAGUUUUAAUAUGUAAAGGGUGCCGUUAGAAAGGCCGUAAAAUCAUCUGGCCUUGGUCUGGGUCUGGGUCUGGGCACACGUAAACAAACAUGUCCUGGCUCGCUGCUUGCCGGCUGCUUCAUGUCGGUGCUCGGGUGGCCUCCAGGGAGCUGCGGUGCGCCUCCACAGCCUCGGGGCGCGGCAGGGGCGAGUACUCGGCAGAAAAGGAGACUCACUUUGGCUUUGAGAACGUGUCUGAAGAGGAAAAGGCCCAGAAAGUGCACAAAGUCUUCGAGAAUGUGGCCAGCAAGUAUGACCUCAUGAAUGACCUGAUGUCGGGCGGAAUCCACCGGGCAUGGAAGGACUGCUUUGUGUCGCGCCUCCACCCAAGACCCAACACCAAGCUGCUGGACGUGGCAGGUGGAACAGGUGACAUUGUGUUCCGCUACGUUCAGCACCUCCGCCAUGCUAGAGGGAAGAGAGGGACUGGUGCUGCUGCUGCCUCCCCUCAAGACACCACCACAACCACAACUGACACCACCACCAGCAGCGACAGUGAUAACAGCCGUCCACUCUAUGAGAUCAGCGUGUGUGACAUCAGCGAAAACAUGUUGAGUGUGGGGAGGCACCGCGCCGAGGCCUUGGGCUACCGCGGCAUUGACUGGGUGUGUGGUGACGCCCAGAACCUCCCCUUUGAAGACGACGAGUUUGACUGCUACACGAUCGCUUUUGGCAUCAGGAACGUGGUCGAUGUGCAGAAGGCUCUGGAUGAAGCUUACCGAGUGCUGAAGCCUGGCGGAAGAUUCAUGUGCCUUGAGUUCAGCUACGUCAGCAACCCCGCCGUGAGAUGGGUGUAUGACCAGUACUCCUUCAACGUGAUCCCCGCCAUGGGCCAGGUGGUUGCCGGGGACUGGGCCAGCUAUCAGUACCUUGUCCAGAGCAUCAGAAAGUUCCCAGACCAGGAUACGUUCAAGGAGAUGAUCGAGGACUCCGGCUUCAGGAACGUGACCUACGAAAACAUGACCUUUGGAGUGGCGGCCAUACACAGCGGGUUCAAGAUCUGAGAGACACAAUGCUACAGCAGUCAUAUAAAAUAACCCUGCCUACCAACACAAGCCUACCCAGCCUAUAAGUAGAUCAUAAGAUGCGGAUUGAUGCAGACGUGGUAAUCCUGAAGGCUUGGGUUCAAGUGCCGUCACAAGCAGCUGACAAUGCUGUCAAGAGGAGCGUACGGCGGCAGCGUGGGCCAGGCUAGUUGUAUAUAAUGGCAGCCACUUCAUAUUUAAUUCUUCUGUGCCACCAACAGGGUGGAGCCAUCCACCAGGCACUUCAAGAAAGCCUACUGGCACUAUGGAAAAAACAUAAUAAA